rnacentral:rRNA from 1 species
UGACGUUAGCGGCGGACGGGUGAGUAACACGUUGGGUAACCUACCUAUAAGAACUGGAAUAACUCCGGGAAACCGGGGCUAAUGCCGGAUAACAUUUAGAACCGCAUGGUUCUAAAGUGAAAGAUGGUUUUGCUAUCACUUAUAGAUGGACCCGCGCCGUAUUAGCUAGUUGGUAAGGUAAUGGCUUACCAAGGCAACGAUACGUAGCCGACCUGAGAGGGUGAUCGGCCACACUGGAACUGAGACACGGUCCAGACUCCUACGGGAGGCAGCAGUAGGGAAUCUUCCGCAAUGGGCGAAAGCCUGACGGAGCAACGCCGCGUGAGUGAUGAAGGGUUUCGGCUCGUAAAACUCUGUUAUUAGGGAAGAACAAACGUGUAAGUAACUGUGCACGUCUUGACGGUACCUAAUCAGAAAGCCACGGCUAACUACGUGCCAGCAGCCGCGGUAAUACGUAGGUGGCAAGCGUUAUCCGGAAUUAUUGGGCGUAAAGCGCGCGUAGGCGGUUUCUUAAGUCUGAUGUGAAAGCCCACGGCUCAACCGUGGAGGGUCAUUGGAAA